UUAAUCCAUGUGUUUCUUCAGUGAUUAGACCAGGGAUCAUGCGGCGGUGACCACAGACGGGAAUUUUUUCCGAUGAGAAGGAUACAAAUGCUUGAGGAUGCAAAAGAGGACGCUGAAAAGUGCCUGGAUUCAGUCCUCGGCUUGUAGGAGGCGAUGGCUAAAAAAAAUACAGGAGAGCCCUUAAAGAUCCAUCCCUAGAAGUCCACCACCACCUCAUCACUGCUUUGCCCUUCACCGCUUCGUCUCGGAUCUCUAAGCGCAUGCUGCUGCCUAGAUGUGAAUGGUGAACAACAUCGUUCUAUGGUGUGUGCAGUGCGCAUCCUCCAGUCUGAAAGCGAUCCAGGUAAGCUACUUACAAGCAUUAUUUCUUAAGUAUAAAGUACAUGCCUUGCAAUCUCAUUAUUAAUGGUUUAUUUCACCCUUUCAAUCUUUGGAACAAAUUCGAUCAUGUCCGCAUCUGCACUUGGGUGAAUGGCCUGGAGCACUUGACCUUGAUCUAAAUAAAUAAGUGAGAUUUGUUGUUAGUUCUUUGUUAGGAUUUUACAUGUUUUUCUGCUCCAGCUCGCUCCUAGAUUUUGGAAAUUCGUACACAGUCCUACGUUGGGAUGUAAACCAGGUUGAUCCUGCCGCUUGGCCCCAAAUUAAGGUUGUCCGUAUUGAUUCUGGAGACACUUGCGCCGCCGUUUCUGCUAUGCCUGCGCCGCGGAGGAGUAAGGCACCGAAGGAGCAAAAAUCCCUUGAGGUGAUUCCCACUCCCGAAGAAACAUCGACGUGAGGCUUGUAUGCCGUGCAGGCUGUGGAUUGGGCUCCCUCUGUACGGGCCUACGAGUCGUCUAACCC